rnacentral:ncRNA from 1 species
GACUUUAAAGAUGGUGAACUAUGUCUGGGAAGGGCAAAGCCAGAGAAAAUUGGUGGGGUUCUCUAGUAGUCCUGGCAUGUAAAUCAGUUGUACCACUCAGGUUUAGGGGAGAAAGACAAACUGAACCACCUAGUAGCUGG